GCAUAACAUUAUAAAAAUGUUUCUUCUAGAUUGUGACAUGAAGUUGCAUCAACAGGAAUUUGGUGAGCCUUAUAUACAGAAGACAGAAUUGCUAAUGAAUAGUGUGUUUCACAGUGAAAACAGUGUGUAUAUACAAGAACAGGACCUAAGUAAGAGUCAGCUGCACUACUUGAAAACAGACAAUAUUGAAUAGUGGAGAAAUAGACAUCUCAACAUUUUCAAAUAUUUUUCAGAUAUCUUCAGAAAAAUCUUCACGAAUAGCUAUUUAUGAAGUUAAAUUAUUGCUAUGUAAAAGACAAGUGUUAUCAUAAAUCAAAAACUGACUAAAAUAAAACAAAAAAACCCCAUGAGAAUAAUUAAUUUUUUAGCAAUGGGUAAAGAACGACUGUGGCUUACAGCAAAAAACAAUGUUCUGCAGCGUGGUAUUCACUGAUGAGGUGGAAAAGGCGGAAACAAUGAUACUGAAGAUCCAAAAAAUUUUGAUGAUUGAGAAGAUUUUUAACUCAACCAUGGAGAAAAAUCACAGCUAAUAGAGGAAAAGCAACACAAAUGGAAUUAUUUGAAUACUUGUGCCCAGCAUAAAAUCUGGUUUUAUCAGCUUAGGAUAUGAAUGUGGCUUUUUACUGAACAUAUUAAGUCCACUAGCUAAGAUAA